GAUGAACGCUGGCGGCGUGCUUAACACAUGCAAGUCGAACGGAAAGGCCUCAGCUUGCUGGGGUGCUCGAGUGGCGAACGGGUGAGUAACACGUAGGUGAUCUGCCUUUCACUUCGGGAUAGGCUUGGGAAACUGGGUCUAAUACCGGAUAUUCACGGCACCGUGGUUGGUGUGGUGGAAAGCUUUUGCGGUGGGAGAUGAGCUUGCGGCCUAUCAGCUUGUUGGUGGGGUAAUGGCCUACCAAGGCGGCGACGGGUAGCCGGCCUGAGAGGGUGUGCGGCCACAUUGGGACUGAGAUACGGCCCAGACUCCUACGGGAGGCAGCAGUGGGGAAUUUUGCACAAUGGGCGGAAGCCUGAUGCAGCGACGCCGUGUGGGGGAUGAAGGCCUUCGGGUUGUAAACUCCUUUCGUCAGGGACGAAGUUUGUUUGACGGUACCUGGAUAAGAAGCACCGGCUAACUACGUG
rnacentral:rRNA from 1 species